UACGGAGGGGACUAGCGUUGUUCGGAAUUACUGGGCGUAAAGCGCACGUAGGCGGAUUUGUAAGUCAGGGGUGAAAUCCCGGGGCUCAACCUCGGAACUGCCUUUGAUACUGCAAAUCUCGAGUCCGGAAGAGGUGAGUGGAAUUCCUAGUGUAGAGGUGAAAUUCGUAGAUAUUAGGAAGAACACCAGUGGCGAAGGCGGCUCACUGGUCCGGUACUGACGCUGAGGAGCGAAAGUGUGGGGAGCGAACAGG
rnacentral:rRNA from 1 species